rnacentral:lncRNA from 1 species
AAUGAAUACAUAAUUUAAAUUUUUUGUAUUCUUAUUACAGAAAAAUACAGGGGUUACGAAAUAUGGCUCUGGAAUGAGGCAGAACAAAGUAAAAAUUUAGGUUCUUCCACUUAACUGCACUAUGCUUACUGCCUUGGGUAUAGAAGGGGAGAGUGACACCAUUGAUUAGUAAUGUCUGCCUUGAUCACAGUAUGGCAGCCAAGAGCAUGCAGCCAACUUCCAAGCUCAUCAUAAUGACACCGAGGCUUCCCCUGCCCAUUCUGAAUCAAACCACCCCCAGCCCUUCGUAGGAAAUGCCAGUUAACCUUCAGCAAGGAACUCAGGCUACCCUCAUUUCCCCCAACUUAUAAAAUUCUGUGUAAAUGUCAGAUUAAGCUCUUCAGUCCUCUGCUUUUCAAAUGAGAGAUAAAAUUUACCUCCCUAUUCCCAGAUGUUAAAAUCUCUGCUUCUCCCCAGGGCAAAGAAAUCAAUGCAAGUGAGCUCCCUGGAGAACUGGCCUAGAACUAGCCACUUUCACGUAGUGAUCCUUCAUCAACAUGUAGAAUAGUGUGAGGGUUAAACAGGCUCUGGAGUCCAAAUCACCUUUGAUCUAUUAAUGAGCUAUGUGGCCUUGGACAAGAUACUUACCUUCUAUCCUC